AAUAUAAUUGCGUUUGUCGAAAAUGCUCUUUGAAUCGAAACGCUUCUCGGAUGCCCUCCGCCACUUAGUUUUGUCUUAUGUUCCGAAAAUUUCUACUCGCCCAUCAUCCAUUCUAUCAUCGUAUACUAAGGAACUAAAAGACUUAGAGUGUACUAGUCUGGACAUCUGACAAACAUGACUGGAGCGCGAGGCGAUGGGACAGCGAUGGAAAUGAUAGAAUAAUUUUUAUCAAUAAUAAUCAAUCCG